rnacentral:rRNA from 1 species
AGUGAACGCUGGCGGUAGGCCUAACACAUGCAAGUCGAACGGCAGCACAGUAAGAGCUUGCUCUUACGGGUGGCGAGUGGCGGACGGGUGAGGAAUACAUCGGAAUCUACUUUUUCGUGGGGGAUAACGUAGGGAAACUUACGCUAAUACCGCAUACGACCUACUGGUGAAAGCAGGGGAUCUUCGGACCUUGCGCGAUUGAAUGAGCCGACGUCGGAUUAGCUAGUUGGCGGGGUAAAGGCCCACCAAGGCGACGAUCCGUAGCUGGUCUGAGAGGAUGAUCAGCCACACUGGAACUGAGACACGGUCCAGACUCCUACGGGAGGCAGCAGUGGGGAAUAUUGGACAAUGGGCGCAAGCCUGAUCCAGCCAUACCGCGUGGGUGAAGAAGGCCUUCGGGUUGUAAAGCCCUUUUGUUGGGAAAGAAAAGCAGCAGGUUAAUACCCCGCUGUUCUGACGGUACCCAAAGAAUAAGCACCGGCUAACUUCGUG